UCCCUGGUGGUUCAAUGGUUAAGACUCUGCAUUCCAAUGCAGGGGGUGUGAGUUCAAUCCCUGCUCAGGGAG
rnacentral:tRNA from 1 species